rnacentral:rRNA from 1 species
AUUACCGCGGCUGUUGGGACGUAGUUAGCAGUGGCUUGUUUGUAGAGGUACAGUCAUUUCUUUCUUCCCUCGUCAAUGAAGUUUACAACCCGAAAGCCUUCUUCCUUCACGCGGCGUUGCUGGAUCAGACUUUCGUCCAUUGCCCAAUAUUCCCCACCGCUGCCUCCCGUAGG